rnacentral:hammerhead_ribozyme from 1 species
GCACUACGGAGGAGUCCCAUACUAGGACGAAACGGCCGUCCAGUGC